rnacentral:rRNA from 1 species
UACAGAGGGUGCGAGCGUUAAUCGGAAUUACUGGGCGUAAAGCGUGCGUAGACGGUUAUUUAAGUCGGGUGUGAAAGCCCCGGGCUCAACCUGGGAAUUGCGUUCGAUACUGAAUAGCUAGAGUUCGGCAGAGGGAAGCGGAAUUUCGGGUGUAGCGGUGAAAUGCGUAGAUAUCCGAAGGAACAUCAGUGGCGAAAGCGGCUUCCUGGACCAGAACUGACGAUCAGGCACGAAAGCGUGGGGAGCAAACAGG